GAUGAACGCUGGCGGCGUGCUUAACACAUGCAAGUCGAACGGAAAGGCCCAAGCUUGCUUGGGUCCUCGAGUGGCGAACGGGUGUGUAACACGUGGGUGAUCUGCCCUGCACUUCGGGAUAAGCCUGGGAAACUGGGUCUAAUACCGGAUAGGACGAUGGUUUGGAUGCCAUUGUGGAAAGUUUUUUCGGUGUGGGGUGAGCUCGCGGCCUAUCAGCUUGUUGGUGGGGUAAUGGCCUACCAAGGCGUCGACGGGUAGCCGGCCUGAGAGGGUGUACGGCUGCAUUGGGACUGAGAUACGGCGCAGAGUCCGACGGGAGGCAGCAGUGGGGAAUAUUGCACAAUGGGCGCAAGCCUGAUGCAGCGACGCCGCGUGGGGGAUGACGGCCUUCGGGGUGUAAACUCCUUUCGCUAGGGACGAAGCGUUUUUGUGACGGUACCUGGAGAAGAAGCACCGGCUAACUACGUG
rnacentral:rRNA from 1 species